AACGUAGGUGGCAAGCGUUAUCCGGAUUUACUGGGCGUAAAGCGUGUGCAGGCGGGAGAACAAGUGGUGUAUGAAAUGGCUCGGCUCAACCGGGCGAGGUUAUGCCAGACUGUUCUUCUAGAGUGCGAGAGAGGGGCAUGGAAUUCCGGGUGUAGUGGUGAAAUGGCGUAGAGAUCCGGAGGAACCCCAGAGGCGAAAGGCGGUGCCCUGGCUCGCAACUGACGCUCAGACACGACAGCAUGGGGAGCGAACGGG
rnacentral:rRNA from 1 species